GAAGCGUCUUCCGCGUCGGGCCGUGCACAAGUCUCCUGGAAUGGAGCGUCAUAGAGGGUGAGAAUCCCGUCUCUGGCAUGGAUCCCCGGUGCUUCUGUGAUACGCUCUCAAAGAGUCGAGUUGUUUGGGAAUGCAGCUCAAAAUGGGUGGUGAACUCCAUCUAAAGCUAAAUAUUGGCGAGAGACCGAUAGCGAACAAGUACCGUGAGGGAAAGAUGAAAAGCACUUUGGAAAGAGAGUGAAACAGUACGUGAAAUUGUUGAAAGGGAAACGCUUCAAGUCAGUCGCGUCGACCGAGACUCAGCCUCGCCUCGGCUUGGCGUACUUCUCGGCUGACGGGCCAGCAUCAAUUUCGUCCCUCGAAUAAUGGCAAGAGAAAGGUGGCACCCUUACGGGUGUGUUAUAGUCUCCUGUCGCAUGCGAGGGGUGGGAUUGAGGACCUCAGCACGCACCUCUCGGUGUCGGGGCUUCGGCUCACGCUACGUGCUUAGGAUGUUGGCGUAAUGGCUUUAAACGACCCGUCUUGAAACACGGACCAAGGAGUCUAACAUGCCCGCGAGUGUUCGGGUGGAAAACCCGUGCGCGAAAUGAAAGUGAAAGUUGGGACCUCUGUCGUGGAGGGCACCGACGCCCGGACCAGACCUUCUGUGACGGAUCUGCGGUAGAGCGUGCAUGUUGGGACCCGAAAGAUGGUGAACUAUGCCUGAAUAGGGUGAAGCCAGAGGAAA
rnacentral:rRNA from 1 species